AUAUCACAUAAGAGAAUGUGGCUUUGAUAAACGAAUGAAUCUCUUUUUUUUCUCUCAACAGUGUUCAGACAGAGGGACAGUUCGGGGAAAAUCAUGCAGAGAGUCUGAGGAUAUGGGUGUGUGAGCGGAAGAUGGUUAAAAGAAAGUUUUAAGGUGCUGCAUCCCAAUUCAGAGGCCACAUCCAUCAAAGGACAUGGACUUCAAAGGCCACGAAGGUCGGAACGAGGCAUGCAAUGAAUUCUGGAGUUGGCAAGGCAGCAAAAGAUCAUCUGUUUUAUCUUUCAUUGCACAGGAAACAAAGGAUGCAUUUGGAAGAGCUAAUGUUGGGCGAUAUAGGAAAAAAAUAAAAUCUCGAUUUUUUUCAGAA